rnacentral:ncRNA from 1 species
AAAUCAGUAAUGACUGGGACUAAAGUAGCAAGCGAAGCGCUACAGAGAGCCGGCGGGUGGUGCGAGCCGGAGCGUGAUUGUUGCUGAACUCACCCAGAAACUCUUUUGUUGAUGUUCGCGUUAACGUGAAAGUAGGCAAAAGCGGCACCGUCCGUUAUGCGGUAAUCUGGCAUAGCCGGAUGAAUUUGAGUACAACGUAGGGUGGUACCGCGAUCGUCGCCCCUAUC